AUACCCUGGAUCAGCUGGGGCUGGACCCCGGCAGGUGGCGCCCGAGACAGGAUAUUCCAAGACAGGCCAGGUUCGAGGCACGUGCUCGCUCGCCCCGCCCACCAGGCAGCUCUCGCCUCCGCGCCUCCAGCCUCGCCCUGCACCCUCCUCGCUGCACCCCACGACCUAGAGCAAAGAAGUUUGUGCAGCGAGUGAGGGCCAGAGAGGAGAGCGCACCCGCAAAGUGCCGUCCAGACCAGCGCGGCGCCCGCCAGCAGGGGAGACAAGAUAAACAUCGAGAUCCCAGCGAGACUGACAGGGCUGCUGCAGCGUGAACUCCAACCAAAAAAUAAUUCUAUUUAUUCUGUUUUAGCUUGUCUACCCUUGCCUUAUGUUUUCCUUUUUACUAAUGACUCCAACAAACUUAAUGUAUUCAUGAGUUAUUCAGGUGGACCUAACGUGGUAACUUGUGAACAAUGUAUGCUUUCAUCUUGUUUAAACCCUCAAUGUAAUGUUUGCUCCUUUGUGGUGUUACAUUGCCCAUCCUAUCUUAUGGUGCCUAUAUGAUAGCUAUGGUCUUGCUGUGUUACAACAACUGCAGGAUUUAAUGCGAUCGCGACGGUUUGUGGGCUUACUUAUUUUAGGAAUAUCAGCUUUAAUAGCAGCAAUUAGUUCUGUUACUGCGGCAGCAAUAUCAUUGACUCAACAAGUGCAUACUGCCCAA